GAUGAAGAACGUAGCAAAAUGCGAUAAGUAAUGUGAAUUGCAGAAUUCAGUGAAUCAUCGAAUCUUUGAACGCACAUUGCGCCCGCUGGUAUUCCGGCGGGCAUGCCUGUUCGAGCGUCAUUUCAACCCUCAAGCCCCCGGGUUUGGUGUUGGGGAUCGGCUCUGCCUUCUGGCGGUGCCGCCCCCGAAAUACAUUGGCGGUCUCGCUGCAGCCUCCAUUGCGUAGUAGCUAACACCUCGCAACUGGAACGCGGCGCGGCCAUGCCGUAAAACCCCAACUUCUGAAUGUUGACCUCGGAUCAGGUAGGAAUACCCGCUGAACUUAAGCAUAUCAAUAAGCGGAGA
rnacentral:misc_RNA from 1 species